rnacentral:lncRNA from 1 species
GAGUCCACGUGUAACGAACAGCGGACGCAGUGCUCUCGUCUUUUUGACGGCGACACCCAGCUCCAGCCCGAUUGAGGCCUAUGGGAGCUCCAGGUGCCUGGCAAGUUGCAAAUUAACCCCGAGAGCCCCCAGGAACCAGGUUCGGCGUGGGAACUAGGCUAGCGGAUCUGGGCGCGACGCACUCUACAGCUGGCUCCCAACGCCAACACCUCAUCUUUGGAAUCCCCGGUUCCUCCGACUGCAAGUUGAAAAGAAAAAUAAUAGGAAACUUAAUUCCUUUCCUAAGAAUCGGCGAGAAGACGCUGGUGCCGGCCUUGAGUCCAGCGUUUCCCAGAUUGGCCUACUUUCAGAUUCUGCUUGCUAUCCCACAAGCUGCGACAGCCUCAACACCAACUCACAUGUCCCACCAAGACUUUAUGGACGACCCAGAUCAAAUGCCACCUUUCCAGUAUAGUCCGUGAAAUGAGCUGCUUUUAUAAUUCGAGAGAAGACAAAAUACUUCGAGAAACGAAUAGGUAUUCCAUGUGCAAUCCUGCCCUUAACAUCUUUGCUCCCAUACAAGAUUGUCUUCAGCGAAUAUCUAUAGGCCAGAUGGAUAAAAGAAUAUAGACUUUCGCUUUUUAAAACCCUUCUCACACUUGUGCCCAGAAAGAUACAUAAUCGGUUUUUCAUAGGAGCCUGGAUCCAAAAUAGGAGAGACAAAAACAAAUUAGAUAGGUGGAAGAUCCCAUAACCCCCCCUGCAGCCUGCUUUAAUAGACCGAUGCCUUGAAAGUUGGUCAACGCCAACUGUCACUGAAUGCCUCAUUCUUGCACGUUUAUCUGAGAAACAAAUCUGUCAACCUUAUCCCAGAGAAAAAUUCCAGGAUCCUAAAGAGACCCUAUUAGUGCCCCUUUUCCUUACUCUGAAGUUUGAGUUAGUUUGAUCUAGUUUAUUCCAGGUACCCUGCACAUACCAGUCAUCCAUCCAUCUAUCAUUCAUCCACCCCUCCAUUUACUCAUUUAUUGAUUAAUUCAAUAACAUGUCUGAGUAUCUUCUAAGCACAAGGCACUGUCCUAGGAGCUACCAGAGGUACAAAUAAGACAUGACAUUUUCCUUUAAGAAGUUCAGUAUCUGGAGGGGAGAGGAAAGGGAACUGAUGAUAGCUAAAUUAUAUUGUUAUAUUGUGUGCAUAUGUGAAUAUGUAACAACAAAUCCCAUCAUUAUAUACAAUUAUAACGCACCAAUA